GGUGGGUUGGCUCAGAGUGGUUAGAGCUUAGGUCUGGUAACCGAAAGGUCGCGGGAUCGAAUCCCGGUAGAGGCUG
rnacentral:tRNA from 1 species